rnacentral:tRNA from 1 species
AGGGAUUUAGGAUAAUAUAUAAAACCAAGAACCUUCAAAGCUCUAAAUAGAAGUUAAAAUCUUCUAAUCCCUG